rnacentral:rRNA from 1 species
CCUACGGGGUGCUGCAGUGGGGAAUAUUGGACAAUGGGCGAAAGCCUGAUCCAGCCAUGCCGCGUGUGUGAAGAAGGCCUUCGGGUUGUAAAGCACUUUCAGUGGGGAAGAAAGCCUUGGGGCUAAUACCCUCGAGGAAGGACAUCACCCACAGAAGAAGCACCGGCUAACUCCGUGCCAGCAGCCGCGGUAAUACGGAGGGUGCGAGCGUUAAUCGGAAUUACUGGGCGUAAAGCGCGCGUAGGCGGUCUGAUAAGCCGGUUGUGAAAGCCCCGGGCUCAACCUGGGAACGGCAUCCGGAACUGUCAGGCUAGAGUGCAGGAGAGGAAGGUAGAGUUCCCGGUGUAGCGGUGAAAUGCGUAGAGAUCGGGAGGAACACCAGUGGCGAAGGCGGCCUUCUGGACUGACACUGACGCUGAGGUGCGAAAGCGUGGGUAGCAAACAGGAUUAGAUACCCGGGUAGUC